rnacentral:rRNA from 1 species
UAGGUUAACGAGGCGAACCGGGGGAACUGAAACAUCUAAGUACCCCGAGGAAAAGAAAUCAACCGAGAUUCCCCCAGUAGCGGCGAGCGAACGGGGAGCAGCCCGGAGUCUGAAUCAGCUUGUGUGUUAGUGGAACGGUCUGGAAAGUCCGACGGUACAGGGUGAUAGUCCCGUACACGAAAAUGCACAGGUUGUGAACUCGAAGAGUAGGGCGGGACACGUGGUAUCCUGUCUGAAUAUGGGGGGACCAUCCUCCAAGGCUAAAUACUCCUGACUGACCGAUAGUGAACCAGUACCGUGAGGGAAAGGCGAAAAGAACCCCGGCGAGGGGAGUGAAAAAGAACCUGAAACCGUGUACGUACAAGCAGUGGGAGCCUACUUGUUAGGUGACUGCGUACCUUUUGUAUAAUGGGUCAGCGACUUAU